rnacentral:lncRNA from 1 species
CUGGGCUACGGUUCUUCUCAUUUUAUGGCAUGUCUUUUUAUUUUUACCGGGAGCUCAUCUCCCACACUUACUCUCAUAUCAACAUUGCUCAAGGGAAGUUUUUUAUGUCUUCUGGAAUUUCAUCUGGUACAGUUACUUGCAUAUCAAUAUCACCAUUUUAAGUCUUUUUAUGUUUUUUCUUUUUCUUGUUCUCAUACAUUUUUUGAGUCUUUUAUUUUUAAUUAUGGUCUUCCUCUUCUCUUAUGGAUGGUGGGUCAUUCAGUUGGUUAUUAUCUUGAUUACUUAUGUUUCAACUGCUUCUAGUUGCUGGUUAUCCAGUUGGUUAUCUUCUCUCAUGGAUGGUGGGUUAUAUGGCAGAUUGUGCAGUAAGGUGUUUCAGGAUAUUCUAUUUCUUCUAGAUCUUUGAUUCUCCUCAUAAUAUGAUUCAACUGCCACAAAGCUGCUUUAAAUGGCACACCAUGCUUCAAUUGCUUUCAUGCUUCAAGUUUCAGUUGUUUCACUCUGCUUCUGUAAAUAUAGGUUUCAGACUGCUUCAAUUAUUAAGUAUUUCAGCUUACCUUAUCAUCUCAUUAUCACAGUUAUGUUAUCUCUAUUUCAGCCUAUUUCAAUCACUAAGUGUCUAUCUUUUUGCUGUAAAGAUAGUUGUUGGUUGCAAUAUUAUCUUUUUGCAUGUUGUUAGUUUGUUAUAUUAUAGCAGCAUGGUUGGUUACAAUUAACUUCAGCUUUUCUUUUUUUUUUAAAAAAAAAAAUUUUUAAUUUCAUUAUCUUUAAUUGCUUUUUUAAAAGAAAAGAAGGAUAAAGCGAGUUACAAAGAAAUCCUUAAAACACAAAGCCACUAAAAUCUUAUAAAACUUCAUGAUGAUAAUAACCAUUAGUCUAUUAUAUCAAUGUAAAAUAAUUUACCAAAAGUUUUUUGCAACAUAAAACUUGCGAAAUCAAAUAUUUCUCCUAAACAAAAUAUACGUUAGAAAAAAAGAAAAAAGAAAAGCAUAAAACUUGCACUCAGAUGAUGAUUCCUCUGUUCGCCUUUAAUUUUAGGAAAAAAAAUACAUGUAAUCCCGUUAACAAAUCCAGAAACCCCAAAUAGAUGUCUAAAGCAACUGAAAAAUAGCUGAUAAAAAGAAGAAAUGUGGAGAAAAUGAAACAAUAUCAGCAUCAUAGCGAGCCAUGAACCCAUGGAAUCAGAGCCCUAGCUUUCUGAGAUGCCCUUUAGAUCUUUGGAUCCUUUCCUUAGGGUUUACCCCCAAGAGAAAUCCCUUGGGGAAGAGCUGAGAGAAGAUUAGAAGAAGAAGCCUCCUCUCCUCCUCCGACAAGGAUCCAUCUAGGGUUCCCAUAACCCCCGACUGCAUCCAUUAAAUAGUUUUAUCGCUUAAUUCGUCCGAUCCCGAUCAGAGUAUUCGAAGCCCUCUGAUCUCGGAUGGACGACUGCGAUGUAUUCUGUGGUUUGACUACGUGGGACGUUGUUGUUUGUAAAAAAGGCUGCUUGCUGUUCUAAGAUAAACACGACCGAGUCCAUGUCGUUGUAAAAGUCCAAAGAAAAAAGAACCGAAAACCCUAAAGCGGCUCCUUUGCUUCUCUUUGGUGUAUCGCCGUGCCCUAAUUUCUCCUGGAUAGCUGCUUCCAGCAUGGCGAAUAGUAAGAAAAAAAAUCCUUUCUCUUUAGGUUUUCGAUCUUUUUCUCAGUAGAUUUUGUUGUAUAUCCUUCUUUUGGAUCUUUUUCUGUUGUUUUUGUGGUAAUUCUGUGGUUUUUGUUUUGGUUUCGAAGCUAUGGCGCGAUCUUUCCUUCAAGCCGUAUCGUCGGAGGACGUCGCUCCGCCUCUCCGAGUUGUCCAGAUGGAGGGGCUGGUAAUUAUCGAACCGAUUCUUUUUGUUUAUUUGUUACUGUUUUUGUUCGUACUAUGUUCUUUCUUUUCUUUUCUUUUUUUCCUUUAAAUUUCGGUUGCAAUUGGAUGACUUCAUUAGUGUUUUCUAUCAGAUAAAUACUUUAGAUCAAUAUCGAUUAUGUUAAGAUUUGAAUCACGACUCCCUUUUGUCUUUUUCUUCUUAGAUAGGCUUUUUGUUCAUCCUGAAAAGAUGGAAUUGUGA